AUGAUAGCUUUGGAGAACAAAACCAUUUAUCAGUAGAAUGGUACAGCACAGACAACAGCAGGACAAGUUUCCCUAGUCUGCUUGGCAACUGUAUCUCAACUCUUGUCUGGGGAAACUUGUUAUGGGAGGAGAAGCUAGUUCAGUCUUCAUGGUAAUUCACUACUUGGUUCUU
rnacentral:sRNA from 1 species